rnacentral:rRNA from 1 species
AUGGGCCCUGGGACGGCAUCCGCGUCCUGGGGUUUGCAACUCGGCGUGGUGCUGGUCUUUCUGCUGGCCUCUGGCUGCCAGGGGCUGAGCCAUGAGGGCUGGCUUCUCCUGGCGCUCAAGAGCCAGAUGAUUGACAGUUACCACCACCUUGACAACUGGAACCCCAAGGAUCCAUCGCCGUGCGCGUGGAGUGGUGUCAACUGCUCCUCCUCCUCGUCGUCGUCGAGGCUAGCAGUGGUGUCUCUCAACGUCAGCAACAUGAACCUGUCGGGCACCGUCGGCCCCGGCAUUGGCGGUCUUACCGAGCUGACUAGCCUCGAUCUGUCCUUCAAUGAGUUCUCUGGUGCCAUCCCUCCGGACAUCGGGAAUUGCUCAAAACUGGUGUUGCUCAACUUGAAUAACAACAAUUUUGAUGGUACAAUCCCCCCUGAGCUUGGGAAGCUGGCCAUGCUGACCGGAUGCAAUCUGUGCAAUAACAGGCUCCAUGGUCCAAUACCUGAUGAGAUUGGUAACAUGUCAUCACUUCAAGACUUGGUGGGGUACAGUAACAAUCUCUCCGGUUCUAUACCGCAUUCGGUCGGCAAGCUCAAGCACCUCAAGACCAUCCGGCUGGGACAGAAUCUUAUAUCUGGCAGCAUUCCUGCCGAGAUAGGCGAAUGCCGCAACCUGACCGUGUUUGGUCUUGCGCAGAACAAGUUGGAAGGGCCUUUGCCAAAAGAGAUUGGGAGAUUGGGUCUCAUGACAGACCUCAUCCUGUGGGGAAAUCAGCUUUCUGGCCCCCUUCCUCCAGAGAUCGGGAAUUGUACAAAUCUCAGGACUAUUGCCCUUUAUGAUAAUGAUCUGGUUGGUCCUAUACCUGCAGCAAUUGGGAACAUUACUUAUCUUGAGAAGCUGUAUCUUUACAGGAAUUCGAUAAAUGGUACCAUUCCAUCUGAAAUUGGGAAGCUUUCUUUUGCAGAGGAGGUUGAUUUUUCAGAGAAUUUCUUAACGGGAGGGAUACCAAAGGAGUUGGGCAACAUACCAGGGUUGUAUCUACUCUACCUCUUCCAGAAUCAGCUUACUGGCUUUAUUCCUAGUGAGUUGUGUGGAUUGAGGAACUUGAGCAAGCUUGAUCUUUCGAUCAAUUCACUCACUGGCCCAAUUCCAGCCGGAUUUCAGUACAUGACCAAGCUAAUCCAGUUGCAACUCUUCAACAAUAUGCUAUCAGGGGACAUACCUCCAAGGUUUGGCAUUUACAGUCGACUGUGGGUGGUGGAUUUCUCAAACAACAACAUUACAGGGCAGAUACCUAGAGAUCUUUGUAGGCAGUCAAACCUUAUUUUGUUGAAUCUGGGGUCUAACAAGUUGACUGGAAACAUACCUCACAGAAUCACCAGCUGUAAAUCCUUGGUGCAGCUUCGUCUCAGUGACAACAGUCUGACAGGAAGCUUCUCCACUGAUCUCUGCAAUCUGGUGAAUUUGACAACAAUCGAGCUGGCUCGAAACAAGUUCAAUGGCCCUAUUCCUCCUCAGAUAGGGAACUGCAAUGCUCUGCAGAGGCUUAACCUUGCAAAUAAUUAUUUCACAUCUGAGUUGCCCCGAGAAAUAGGGAAAUUGUCAAAGCUUGUCGUCUUCAAUAUCUCAUCUAACAGGCUAGGAGGAAGCAUACCACUGGAGAUCUUCAAUUGUACAACAUUGCAGCGUCUUGAUCUCAGCCAGAAUAGCUUUGAAGGUUCAUUGCCAAAUGAAGUUGGUAGACUGCCUCAACUGGAGCUUCUCUCGUUCGCUGAUAAUAGGCUAUCUGGGCAGAUGCCACCUAUUCUUGGUAAACUUUCACAUUUGACAGCACUGCAGAUUGGUGGCAAUCAAUUCUCUGGUGGAAUACCAAAGGAGCUGGGGCUGCUCUCAAGCUUGCAGAUUGCCAUGAAUUUGAGCUAUAAUAAUCUCUCUGGGAAUAUACCAUCAGAGCUUGGCAGUCUUGCAUUAUUGGAAAGUUUGUUUCUCAAUAAUAACAACCUGACAGGUGAAAUCCCAGAUACAUUUGUAAACCUGUCAAGUUUGCUUCAGCUCAAUGUCUCGUACAAUAAUCUCACCGGUACUCUUCCCCCUGUGCCGCUUUUUGACAACAUGGUUGUGACCAGCUUUAUUGGAAACAGAGGACUCUGUGGUGGACAACUUGGCAAGUGUGGAUCUGAGUCACCCUCCUCUUCCCAGGCAUCCGACUCGGUCAGUCGUCCUAUGGGCAAGAUCAUAGCAAUUAUUGCCGCCAUUAUUGGAGGAGUAUCACUUAUUCUUAUUGCCAUACUUUUGCACCAUAUGAGGAAACCAUUAGAAACAGUAGCCCCUUUGCAAGACAAGCAAAUUCUAUCUGCUGGGUCUAACAUUCCUGUUUCUGCGAAGGAUGCGUAUACAUUUCAGGAACUGGUCUCUGCUACAAAUAAUUUUGAUGAUAGUUGUGUCAUUGGACGGGGUGCUUGUGGGACUGUGUACAAAGCCGUCCUGAAGCCUGGGCAGAUAAUUGCGGUAAAGAAGUUGGCUUCAAACAGGGAAGGAAGCAACACGGAUAACAGCUUCCGUGCGGAGAUCAUGACUCUUGGAAAGAUAAGACAUCGUAACAUUGUGAAGCUGUACGGUUUCAUCUAUCACCAGGGUGCAAACCUUUUGUUGUAUGAGUACAUGCCAAGAGGCAGCCUUGGAGAGCUACUUCACGGAGAAUCUUCUUCUUCACUCGAUUGGGAGACACGCUUCACGAUAGCCCUUGGGGCAGCUGAAGGGCUUUCAUACUUGCAUCAUGAUUGCAAGCCUCGGAUCAUCCACCGUGAUAUCAAGUCAAAUAACAUUUUACUUGAUGACAACUUUGAAGCUCAUGUUGGUGACUUUGGGUUGGCUAAGGUAAUUGACAUGCCAGUCUCAAAGUCUAUGUCUGCAAUUGCUGGUUCAUAUGGCUAUAUUGCACCAGAGUAUGCGUACACCAUGAAGGUGACUGAGAAAUCUGACAUAUACAGCUAUGGUGUCGUGCUGUUGGAGCUGCUAACCGGCCGUGCGCCUGUGCAACCGAUAGAAUUGGGAGGUGAUCUGGUAACAUGGGCCAAAAAUUACAUCAGGGACAAUUCUCUGGGUCCAGGGAUAUUUGACAGUAAUCUUGAUUUGGAAGAUAAAGCCGUCGUCGAUCAUAUGAUCGAGGUCUUGAAAAUUGCUCUGCUAUGUAGUAACCUGUCGCCGUACGAGAGACCGCCGAUGCGGCAUGUUGUAGUUAUGUUAAGCGAGUCCAAAGAUAGGGCCCGGGCGAGCUCGGCGUCGUCGCCUGCUUCUGAUAAUUCUUCGAAGAAGGAUAGCUCAUGA